rnacentral:rRNA from 1 species
AGACGGAGGUGGCAAGCGUUGCUCGGAUUCAUUGGGUGUAAAGGGUCGGUAGGCGGUUCGAUAAGUGCUCGGUGAAAUCCUGCGGCUUAACCGCAGAACGUUCGGGUAGACUGUCGAACUUGAGGACCGGAGGGGCAGACGGAAUUCCCGGUGUAAGAGUGAAAUCUGUAGAGAUCGGGAGGAACACCAGUGGCGAAGGCGGUCUGCUAGACGGUCCCUGACGCUGAGCGACGAAAGCGUGGGGAGCAAACAGGAUUAGAAACCCCGGUAGUCC